rnacentral:rRNA from 1 species
AUUGAACGCUGGCGGCAGGCCUAACACAUGCAAGUCGAACGAGAGGCGGAAGGGUGAGCAAGGUAUGGGCAAGUGCCCGAUGGAUGGGGUUAAGUACUGGGAACGGAUACUAAAACCGAACACCAUAGGCUGGGCCCAGAUGGGAUUAGGUAGUGGGUGGGGUAACGGCUCACCUAGGCGACGAUCCGUAGCUGGUCUGAGAGGAUGAACAGCCACACUGGAACUGAGACACGGUCCAGACUCCUACGGGAGGCAGCAGUGGGGAAUAUUGCACAAUGGGCGCAAGCCUGAUGCAGCCAUGCCGCGUGUAUGAAGAAGGCCUUCGGGUUGUAAAGCACUUUCAGCGAGGAGGCGUUACUCGCAGAAGAAGCACCGGCUAACUCCGUGCCAGCAGCCGCGGUAAUUC